rnacentral:misc_RNA from 1 species
GAUGAAGAACGUAGCGAAAUGCGAUAAGUAGUGUGAAUUGCAGAAUUCAGUGAAUCAUCGAAUCUUUGAACGCACAUUGCGCCCCUUGGUAUUCCAUGGGGCAUGCCUGUUCGAGCGUCAUUUGUACCUUCAAGCUUUGCUUGGUGUUGGGUGUUUGUCCAUUCUCUUGCAGAGGGACUCGCCUUAAAGUAAUUGGCAGCCAGUGUUUUGGUUUUGAAGCGCAGCACAAGUCGCGAUUCAACGCUAGACGCCAGCUUCCACAAGCCUUUUUCACUUUUGACCUCGGAUCAGGUAGGGAUACCCGCUGAACUUAAGCAUAUCAAUAAGCGGAGGA